GGGGAGAUUAUAAAGAGAUUAUUCCUUAGGCAAGGGCAAACUUUAGACAUGCCCAGUAAUGGAAGAUUCUAGCACACCCAUAAGUCUGCUGCAACACAUAUUAUUAGAAGCUAGGAUCCUAGGGGAUCAAGUUUAAGUCAUGGACAAUAAUUGGCAUAUUGUCAUGCCCAAAAUCCAUAGCUUAAACACAUAGGGGUGCAGGAUUCAUAAUAGAACAGGCAGAAGGAAAUCAGUAUUCCACAGUGAGUGUUGAACUAUACAGAAGCAGUAAGCAGAUAGAAUAUCAAAAGCGGUAAAUAAACACAUUGUUGAGGUGCUAAAAACCUUUAAUCAGAACAUACCAGUUUCAAAGAAGCAAAAUAAAGAAAGGAAGUAGGUCUUGUAAACGGGCCAUUGUGCAGGAAAUAAGAGAGAAUACUAAUGCAUGUAAGUGUAAUUUCAGAAAGACUAUGAGUGAGGGAUGUUUUUUGUGCUAAUGAAAGAGUUGUGUAUUUAUAGUGUGAAAAACGUGUAGAAAU
rnacentral:lncRNA from 1 species